CAGCCGCCGCGGUAAUACGGAGGGGGCUAGCGUUGUUCGGAAUUACUGGGCGUAAAGCGCACGUAGGCGGCUGUGUAAGUCAGAGGUGAAAGCCCGGGGCUCAACCCCGGAAUAGCCUUUGAGACUGCAUAGCUUGAACACGGGAGAGGUGAGUGGAAUUCCGAGUGUAGAGGUGAAAUUCGUAGAUAUUCGGAAGAACACCAGUGGCGAAGGCGGCUCACUGGACCGUUGUUGACGCUGAGGUGCGAAAGCGUGGGGAGCAAACAGGAUUAGAUACCCCAGUAGUCCCUGUCUCUUAUAA
rnacentral:rRNA from 1 species